UAAUUUGAGUAUGCCUUUUUUCUGUAGUUUUGGGGAAAAAAGUUCUUAGUUUAAAGACGUUGAGCAAUCACGACAUGCUUCUCCCUUUUACGAUGUUUGAAGGUUUUACUAAAAUUAACUUAUUUUUUCUAAUAACUUGUCAAAGCCUUCAAGGAUGUUAUAUUUUGAUUUGUUGAUUGAACCUAUAUAAAUAUGCCAUUGCAAUACACGUCUCCCACAGCGCGACCAUAACGAUCUUUAUCAAAAACCUGAAUUCUCACACACAUUUUUUUCAACAAUUUUAGUCAGUUCUUCCUUUGCCUUUUGCCCAUAUGGCAUUUAGCUCUUUGGAUCUGCUCAGUAGAGGUUUACAAUCAAUGGAUGCACCAGUGUAAUCAUUUGAACUCCAAUAAGUUCAAGAAUACAUCAUCAGCAAACAUAGUGAACCGAUCGAAGAAUUAGUACAAUCAUCGUACUGGUUCACGCCCUUUCUCAUACAUAGUGGAGAAGAUGAUUGAGGAUGGUUCGAAGUUUCUCGAAGUCGACACAUUUGAGUUCACUUAUGCUGGAAAGAACAAGUGUUAGACUUGUAAUGCAACUAAAGCUCAACAUGAUGAGAUACUUGUCAAAGAGUAUGGAUAUCUUAUAGAGAGGGCAAAGGAACAGCAACUUUCCGAAGAUACCCCUUUGGAGUAGAUACCGAUAGAUGAUCCUGAUGUCGGAAUUAAUAUUAUAAUGUCUGUUCUAGGUACGAAGCCCGGGCGUCGAAUUCUUGGGUUAGGAGAUGGUCGUCUUCGAGCCAUUGGGAUAUCUUCUUCCAAUGUACACAAUUUGGAGAAGGAGUUGGAAGCAGAACGUGCUGCUCGAAAGGUAGUCGAUGUAGCUCGAGUAAACAUGGAGUAAAAUGCGCAAAACAAGCUAAAGGUUGUUGAGUAACAAUUCAAUUCUACAUUACAAUCUUCGCAUCAUUCUAUGUACCAACUAUGUGGUAGAGUUCCUGGCUUCAUUGUACCACCAUUUAUAUGAUUGUCAAUAGAGAAUAAUGAUAAUGAGAAAGAUGAUGCUAUUGAGGAUGAAGAGAAUAGCUUAGGUGAGAAUCAGUGCAUGUCUAAUUAAAGAGACUAAAGAUCAUUUUUUUAUUUGCAUAACAAUAGAUAUAUAGCAUGUUUGCUUUGCUUAUUUUAACUUUAGAUGUAAUCAUACUUGGUGAAAUUCAUUUAUUCGUGUUUUGAUGAAAUAUUUUGGAUU